GCUGGAGAAGCCGGGGGAAAUCCAAUCAAUUGGGGCUCUGGUCUCCUCUGGGCGAGGGCGACGGCCUUGGCCUGGCUGCGGCCAGCCGUCCUUCGGGAACCGGCGUUGGUGGGCAGCCGAGUACGGAGUAGCAGAUCGACGGAUCAUGGAUGGAUGGAUACACGGAGGAGCUCAUAGGCCAAAUUACCUCACGGGGGUCACUCAUGGUUCUGCCGUUCGGGCUUCGGUUGGUAAGGGCGGCUGUCAGCUGCGAGUGGAUCGCGCUGGCUGUCGAUGGGGGUUAGCAGUGAAAUUCAUUUGUCCAGCGAUGGCUUUGAUGCGCGGCUCGGUCCAGAUUCACCGGGAGUUCGAGGGGAUCGUAUAUAUGAGCCUCUGCCACGGGCUGCAGGUUGGAGUGAGUACUCUUUAGUUGAUGGCACUAGUGAACUCAUCGGUAUUGAAUACCAAGGUGCACCGGAAGUGGAUGUCGCAAGAACGCAGGUUUGGAUGCUCCCGAGCUUGUUCUGAUAUUGGCCUACGAAGAUCAAAUUCUGUGGUUGAAUGAAAUCAACUGAAGGUGAGGUUUGGCUUUCAUCUACACCAAAGCUAGGCAUGCUGGCAAUAUAUGUUCCUGUUGUCGUCGUUCCCCCGCUUCCGACUGCCAUCUCUAGCUGCUGCUUUGUGUCGGAAAGAAGAAAUAUUUUUUGUUGCAGGUGUGAGGGCUCAGAUGAACACAUGAGGAUGCCUUGAGGUCUCAAAUAAAUUUCAAAUAUUUUUUUAUGCCUUGACGGCCCAUGGAUUUGUAUUAUG